CAGUACAUUAUAUUUUCAUUACUUUAAAACACAAAUUUUUUGGUGCUACUGUUCCUUUAAUGGGCUGUCUUAACCGAUAUCUAUGGAAACAGUUGGUAAAUGAAACCAGUCACUUCGAAGGCUAGGGCCACUCUAGGCAGAUCUUGGCCUGCGGAGAAACACAGGCAGAGAAUCUGCUCUCCCGCUGAACUUCUGCUGCCACGAUCCGCCAUCGUAUGAAGUGAAGAGUCAUACGAUUUUCAGACAGUGUGUAGAGUGUCCCAAUGUUUUUUCUGUCAUGGAGAUCGGUCGUUCAGACGAUUGGACAGGUUAAAAGAUUUAUAACCGCUACCAAUAUCUCUGCAUUUAUUGCCUGAAGACAUCCAAGGGUUGUAGGUUGGAAGAUUGGAAUGGACUAUCGUUCGUCCAACAUAGGCUAUAAUCUGCACAUCUAUGGCCAGCUUUAGUCUUCAGAUGUCGCAUGCAACCAACAUGGUGCUCAUUAGCAGGUCUGACGUUUUGGACAAGCGGAGAUGGUCAAUUUUCUUGAACAUAUUUUUUUAAUUAAAUUCACUGCAAGCA